GCUGCUGCAUUCAUCUCCCCUGUUGUAAAGGCAGCAGCUAAAUCCAUCUUUCCUUAAGAUCCAUGCAUCAGAUGGAGAUCCAAACAGACCUUGGAAAGAAGGAGGAUAAACCACAGAGCUGGCCAUGGCAACCUGUCCUCAGGCUCUCAAACAGCCCAGGCUAUCAUCAGCUGAUUUAACACAGAUUCAGUUCAGAUCACUACUCACCUUUCAAUUCAAUCAACAGAGUCAUCCUGUGGGACUUAGCUCCUGCAGUGAAACCACAGAUCCAGAAGAGUGUGGGAGUCCAGCUCAGGGAACAACAUCUAUUGAGACCAUUGAGCAAAGGCCAGGCACAGCACUGGGAUAAUCAAGUCAGCAUCCACUGCAGCUCUGUCUGGUGAAAUCAAAGAAAUUCUGAAAGUUAUGAUGAAGGGAAGAAGAAGGGAGAAAAAAACCCAAAACCACAUGAGAGGUUCUGAGGUAGUGGGGAUAAAGGGAUUUAAAGCUAAUUGAAGGUCUAAAAAACAGGAGCUGUCAUUUAAAAUGGUAAAUGUCAAUUGUACUCUGAAAUUAAACCUCAGAUUUUGAUGAGAGAUGUAUGUUCUAAGCCAUAUAUAUAUUUAUCUAUAUAUCCUUGAAAGUGCUCCAAAUUAAACCAACAGAUUUUAUGCAAUGCAAAAAUGAAGAGAGAAUUACUGGGUAGAAUGGGGAGAAAUAGAGGGCUUUUGUCUGUAUACAUUUUCAACAUGUCUAUCUACUGGAAAUGAUUAUUUCUGUAUAAAAAUGUCACUUCUUGGUAAAUAUUGAAAAAACAUUAAUGCCUGAGCUGGCUGGAAACACAAAACCUGUGAUUAAUAUCUGAUUAAUUAUUAAAUAACAACUUUAGUAAUACAUUUUCCCUGUAGACAUAGUCAUAGUUGGUAUAACACAUAUUAAGAUAAUUCAGAAAAGCAUAUCUAUGUACAAGAAAUAUACAUAUUAUCCAAAUGGAUUUAAUUAAACCAAUAUCAGCAGUCAGUGCCUCAAAAAUUAGGAAAUAGCUGAUAUUAGCAGUUCGAGGGCUUACUUAAUUUAUUCCCACUUGGAUUUUGGCAAUAUUAAUUUAUUCACUAGAAAAUAUCCUAAGUGUACAGUAAUUUUACAGUAGGUUGCAAUGCACAAAAGGGAAUGAAACCAAUUAAGUGAGCAAAAGAAUGAAACAAAAGCAACGAGGAACACUUUACUCAGGAAGUGGCCUCAUUCUGGUACCUCAUGAUCAACUCCUAGAUCUUGUAUUUAUAUUUUUGUGAACAAUCCAGUGAAAAGGCAAAGGGAAUAUUCAUUAAAUUAUUAAUUAAAUCCAGAGUUCAUAGUGUAUUGUGAAGCACUGAGAUAACACUGUGAAGAGAAAUAAAUCCAUUAAAUGGGGCUCAAUAAAAUGACCAAUGGUGAAAUGAAAUGCAUUCUAAUCCAUGAUUUCCCUUAUUAUCAUCACAUCCUGGAAACCACUUAUGUAAGUGUGCCUCGUGAAUCUGAUUAGCUGUAACAGAACAGUCCCUGGGAAGCAUUUUUACCCUCUUUUACAGAAGGUGUGCCAAAGACAUGGAGAUACAAGGUUAUCAGCCUUUUUUGGAGUACUGGAGGAGGAAUUUCUUCAGUGGCGUGCAUGUUUUGAUAAGAAUAAGCCAAAUUUACUCUAAAAGUUCUGUUCUGAUAAAGCCUCUCUUAGAGUAAUGUAGGAUAUUCAACACCCAAUUCAGUACUUCCAAGAUUAAAAUAUUCCACUCCUGUAAAUGAGAUAAAAACAUAAAUGAGAAAUUUAAGGUCUUGUCCAUGUUAAUGAGGGGUAGAACUUGGACAUGGAUGGACUGUGCAGACCACAGAUUUACUUUCAUGACUGCCAGAACACUUACAUUUAAGGAAAAACAGGACAAACUUGUCCUUGUUUGUUGAGGCUGAUUUGUUUUGCCUUUCUUUUGUUUUCAAGAGGUGCUGCUGCUCUGUGCUGGUUCCCAGUGACCCAUUCCUCCUGGCUGCUAAUAUCCAUGGAUACAAGACAUGGCUUGUGGCCACGUUUAUGUGCUGCCUCCACCUUCUGUGUUCUUGGCUUGGAGGAUUACAAGUUGAUAGCAGCCUGUGUCAGGAACACUGCAAAUCCCUUUGGCUUCAUGUAACUCUUGUCCAUUUUGAGAGAAAACAUUUGUCAGGCACUUACACCAGCAGGCUGCCUUAACUGCAUUUUUUUAUCAUCUACACAGUUCAUAGGUUGUAAUGGUUUCCAGACAGGUACCUGGAAUUUUUCACCAUUCCAGUCGAUGAAACAAGGCAUUUUGUCUUGGAGAAAAGAGGCAAUUAUUUAUACUGGGAAAGCUCCCAAAUGAGCACGUCCUCUUGCCCCCAGGGCCAAGGUGGUCACCACAGUCAGUGAUCCAUGGGCUCAGACACACUCCUGGUGCCAGGUACAAUGAUGUAGCCUGCUGUAGCCACCAUUCCUGUGGAUUUCCCCUCUGGUGCUCCAUCAGAGAGUGCAGUGUGCACCUCUGCUGCAUCUGGAACAGCCACAUGGGUUGAACACUUUCAGCAAGGCUGUGGUCCUGCUGUGACCCUCCAGCAACAGACUGGGAUGUAAAAACAAUUCUCCAGCAGCACCAGGCUGUGCUUGAGGAUCCAGCAGUCCUGAAACCUUUCCUGGGUACUGGGAAAAGAAAAACUUGUUUGCCAUGUUAAAGGAACAGCUGAAAGAACCUGCAUUUUGUCAGGGCUUAUUUCUUCCUCUGGCUGCCCUUCCCUUUUCUACCUACCUGUUUUGGGUUUUCUUCAUUUUGAUGUUAAGUUCUGAUUGUUACGGAGUUUUCUGAAAGGCUCUGGAGAAAACAUACGUGUUAAUUAAAGUUAAGGAAACUCUUGAAAAUAAAAGUUUUGAAAGUAGAAGUGGGUUUUUGAUCAGUGUUUAA